rnacentral:rRNA from 1 species
GAUGAACGCUGGCGGUGUGCCUUAAGCAUGCAAGUCGAGCGGGCCUAGCAAUAGGUCAGCGGCAGACGGGUGAGUAACACGUAGGAAUCUACCUCGAAGUGGGGGAUAGCCCCGCGAAAGCGGGGGUAAUACCGCAUACUAUCGCAAGAUCAAAGUCGCAAGACGCUUCGAGAGGAGCCUGCGUCCUAUCAGCUAGUUGGUGGGGUAAUAGCCUACCAAGGCAAUGACGGGUAGCCGAUGUGAGAGCAUGAUCGGCCACAAGGUUACUGAGACACGG